AAUUUUGAAAUUGGGAAAUGCAAGUUUUAAGUUGGAAAAUUUAAUGUUUUUUUUUCAAAAUUGUUUUGUCAUUUUAGGUCUUUUGUAUUUCCAUAGAAAUUUGGUAUCAUCUGGUCAAAUUCUGCCAAAAGUCACUGAGGUUUUGAUAAAAUCAAUGAACCAAUCAGGGGAAAGUACCCUUCAUAAUAAUGUCAACUUUCUCCUCUGUGAAACUGGUGUCUGACUUUCUUUUGAAGGCUUGCCAGAAGAAUCUCGUCAUUGACUAAUCUACAAAGGUCUCCUUGGAGUUCUUGUGAUGCUGACCUGCCUGUGCAGUACACGGCUCACUUCUGCAAACCCAUGGUGGCGGUGGUGAUGGUGAUGAUGAUGAUGAGGCAGAUGAUGGUGAUAAAACAAGGGAGGCGGUGACAACAACACGAAGAGGUGAUGGGGAACUGGAUUGCAGGUAGCUCCAGAUUUGGCAGACCUGAGGUUGUUCGUCUCAUGAAGCUGCGGUGUUGAUUAUGACGGAAAACUUCAGAGGGCUCCAGAAGUCUGAUUCGGUUAAGCUGCUCCACGUGUGGGCCUUGUGCCUCUGGUGCUCCUGGCUCCCAUACGCAGGUCACUUGCCUUGCACUGCCUUGGGUGAAAGGAAACUUCCCUACGAGGCAGAACUGGGAUGGCACCAGCCUCUCUGGGCCUCAGAUGUACUGGGGCAGACACCCCUUGAAUAUCUACUUCAAAUCACCUUUCAUGUUUUAUUAUUGGAAAUAGACUCAUUUGAGGAUUACAUUAUUAUGUUUUGGAAAAAAUGGAAAUGAAUCAAGACAUGGAGAAUGCCAGCCUGGUUCAUGGUUCCACCUGUUCACCCAGGAUGUCUUCAAAUACUUGUGUUUCAGCAACCAGAAAUCAGCAAAGAUUCAACCUAUCCUUUUUGCCUCAGUUACUCCUUAAAUCAGUGCCACCCCUCCAAAUGAAUGUGAAUUGAAACAUGCAUUGCUUUUCAUUUGAGUGCUUACUGUGUGUGAGCCAGUGCAAAAAAUAGGAGAGAGAAAAUGAGGGAGACAAAUGCACAUGGAGCCUGCUUUUAAUGAAUUUGCUAUUAGUUUCAGCACGCAUAUUGUGUUCUUUUGUUUUUAAUUAGGUGUGUCCCUAUGACAAGAGAGCAGUGAAUGGAAAAGUGUGCUCUGUAAUUAUUGUAAGCCCCAUUAAUGAAAAACAAAAUAAAGUACAACAACAAUAACAACAACAAAACUCUAAUGUGAAAACCUCGGGACAUUUCAAUUCAUUUCUUUGUUGUUGUUCUUUAAGUUCUAAGAGAUAUGACCCAUUUUAUUUUGUAUUACUUUUGUGGUGCUGAGAUAGGACCCAUUUUAUUGAUUACAUAAAUAUUCUGCAGGUUUUAGAUACAUUAAUACAACAUAGUUUGAGUUAAUUUGAAUUAAAUUCUAGUGUUUUUCCUUUGGGUAUAGCUUGUAUGUUGGAAAAUAUAUUGAUUGUAUACUUCUUGGGGUUAGGAAGGUGAAUUACACCUGCUAUCUUUAUGGGCAUCUGCCUUCCCUGCCCCAGCACCCACUAUUCUGAGUGGGUGACUACCAAAAGGAGGGAGAUAGAUCUUGUUCAAUCUUGGGGGUGACAUUAAUGGGCCCAAUAUUGCUAAGAGAGGGGGUAGAGCACAGUUGGGCACUGAUUCUAUAUGAAAUUUGACUAAAUAUUUUUUUCAGUAUUCAUUGCAUGAUUCCUUUUAUUCCAUAGGUUGAGUGACUCCACAGUUUUUCUAAAAAAUUGUUUCUGAGCUGAGAAUAAGUUUAAGUCAUGAUUUUUCCAGUGUUAUGACAUUGAUUUGACUGAAGCCACUAGACAUUUUAUGUAGUGUCUGUGACACAUUUUAGUAUGUAUGAGCCAAUAAUAGACAAGUCUUUGUCUUGAGUAGUGUCCAUCUGAAUUGAAAAUGAACCAGCUUUUCUUUUUUAACAUCAUCAACAGACUUCUUAAUUAAGCUGCCAAUACACACUGCCAAUAACGCUGUGUGCUGUUUGAGAAAUGAAUAGCGUCAGUGCCGUUUCCAUCUUAUCAAAUAAACAAUGCUGCUGGGAUAGCAUGGAUUUUAAGUGUUCUUUGAAUGGCACUGCAGAUCGCACCCUACAUCAUUUGAUGAGCUUUUUCAUACCACCUCUUUUGACUCAAUUUGUGAUUUUUGUUUUUUAGUAAGGAAUAGCUCUAAUCUGACCAAUAACUUUGGUUAUCUGAUUCAACCUUAAUAGAACAAAUCACCCCACCAUCAAACUCCUGGUCAUGCUAUUUGUAUGCAUGUCAUUUCGGGUUGGUGAGAAGUAGCUUCCAGGAACUAUUAAUGAUCCACUGGUGUUAUACUAAAUUGUGGGUGUGUAUUGUGUAAGCAUUUGGUGGUCAUGAAGUACUUUUUUUACUUUUAUUUCUUAAGGCUCUGUAGAAGAAGUGCGACUUAGCACUUUCACUGGUUGGUAGUUUACAGUCAGUCUACUGAGAAGUCCAAAUAACUGGAAUUUUUAAUACAUUUGAGUUUCCU
ensembl:lincRNA